rnacentral:rRNA from 1 species
UAUAACUGGAGGAAGGUGGGGAUGACGUCAAGUCAUCAUGGCCCUUACGAGUAGGGCUACACACGUGCUACAAUGGCAUAUACAAAGAGAAGCGACCUCGCGAGAGCAAGCGGACCUCAUAAAGUAUGUCGUAGUCCGGAUUGGAGUCUGCAACUCGACUCCAUGAAGUCGGAAUCGCUAGUAAUCGUAGAUCAGAAUGCUACGGUGAAUACGUUCCCGGGCCUUGUACACACCGCCCGUCACACCAUGGGAGUGGGUUGCAAAAGAAGUAGGUAGCUUAACCUUCGGGAGGGCGCUUACCACUUUGUGAUUCAUGACUGGGGUGAAGUCGAAGCAAGA